AUACGUAGGGGGCGAGCGUUAUCCGGAUUUAUUGGGCGUAAAGCGUGUGUAGGCGGUUUGUUAAGUUUAAGAUUAAAGCCCGAGGCUUAACCUCGGUUCGUCUUAAAAACUGGCAGACUUGAGUGCAGUAGAGGCAAGUGGAAUUUCUAGUGUAGCGGUUAAAUGCGAAGAUAUUAGAAGGAACACCAGUGGCGAAGGCGGCUUGCUGGGCGGUUACUGACGCUGAGACGCGAAAGCGUGGGGAGCAAAUAGGAUGAGAUACCCUAGUGGUCCACGCCGUAAACGAUGAGUACUAAGUGUCGGGUAACCGGUGCUGAAGUUAACACAUUAAGUACUCCGCCUGAGUAGUACGGUCGCAAGGCUGAAACUCAAAUGAAUUGGCGGGG
rnacentral:rRNA from 1 species